rnacentral:rRNA from 1 species
UACGUAGGGACCAAGCGUUGUUCGGAUUUACUGGGCGUAAAGGGCGCGUAGGCGGCGCGGUAAGUCACUUGUGAAAUCUCUGAGCUUAACUCAGAACGGCCAAGUGAUACUGCAGUGCUAGAGUGUGGAAGGGGCAAUCGGAAUUCUUGGUGUAGCGGUGAAAUGCGUAGAGAUCAGGAAGAACACCGGUGGCGAAAGCGCUCUGCUAGGCCGCAACUGACACUGAGGGACGAAAGCUAGGGGAGCGAAUGGG